GUGAGGAAUCUUCCACAAUGGGCGAAAGCCUGAUGGAGCAACGCCGCGUGAAGGAUGAAGGUCUUCGGAUUGUAAACUUCUUUUAUGAGUGAAGAAUAUGACGGUAACUCAUGAAUAAGCACCGGCUAACUACGUGCCAGCAGCCGCGGUCAUACGUAGGGUGCAAGCAUUAUCCGGAGUGACUGGGCGUAAAGAGUUGCGUAGGCGGUUAUGUAAGCGAAUAGUGAAACCUGGUGGCUCAACCACACAGACUAUUAUUCGAACUGCAUAACUCGAGAAUGGUAGAGGUAACUGGAAUUUCUUGUGUAGGAGUGAAAUCCGUAGAUAUAAGAAGCAACACCAAUGGCGUAGGCAGGUUACUGGGCCAUUUCUGACGCUAAGGCACGAAAGCGUGGGGAGCGAACCGGAUUAGAUACCCUGGUAGUCC
rnacentral:rRNA from 1 species